rnacentral:rRNA from 1 species
AACGACUCUCGGCAACGGAUAUCUCGGCUCACGCAUCGAUGAAGAACGUAGCAAAAUGCGAUACUUGGUGUGAAUUGCAGAAUCCCGUGAACCAUCGAGUUUUUGAACGCAAGUUGCGCCCGAAGCCAUCCGGUCGAGGGCACGUCUGCCUGGGCGUCACGCA